UGCUAUCUCUGACAAAAGUUCUUGAAUAAUGAUUUUUUCAGUAACACCAGUCUCAUCUAUUAUUUCAAACAUGCUGAGAGAAUGACGCUUUGAUUAUGCAUUAUCAACUUUUGAGGCGUAUUAUAUUAAGAGAAAUUGCAUUGCAUAUACAAACAUAACCCCUUAAUUUGCAGCGAUGGAAAGUAUACUUUUUUGAUGUCGUGUAUUUUCGUAUUGUCCAUACUGUCCCUAUUUAUAUUUUCAAAACUAUCUGGUCUAUAUAUAUUUACAACGCAUGAGAAACUGUGUUGUGUCAGGAGAAGCACGAUAAUCGAUACAUGCAUUCUCUAGAAACUGACUCUCUUCAUCUCCCUUCUCCCCCCAAAUUAUUUUCUUAUCUGUGUCAGGAAAGUGAUUUGCAUUUUCCCAGAAAAAAAAGCUUCUCUUUUGUUCUCCGUUUUCUUAGCAUUUUCCUGAAGCCAUGAAGAAUGAAUCGAAUCUCAGAAAAAAAACUGUUACUUUAGCCCUUUUAAUUUUAAAGAUAAAUAUUUUGUUUCAUUGCUUUGCAACUUCGGAGCAGAGGAGGAUCUUCUUCUUAUCAUGUUUUUUGUUGCCAAAGAUGUUUGUAUCCUGUGAUAUAUGUGAAGUAAAAUAUGCAUCUCUAGAAACAUGAGUUUUGCCAUUUCAAAAUAAAGACAGUCAAUUGUUCAAAUAGCCGUA